rnacentral:rRNA from 1 species
CUCGUAGGCGGUUUGUCGCGUCGGGAGUGAAAUCCUCGGGCUUAACUCGGGGCUUGCUUUCGAUACGGGCAGACUGGAGGUAUGCAGGGGAGAACGGAAUUCCUGGUGUAGCGGUGAAAUGCGCAGAUAUCAGGAGGAACACCGGUGGCGAAGGCGGUUCUCUGGGCAUGACCUGACGCUGAGGAGCGAAAGUGUGGGGAGCGAACA